rnacentral:rRNA from 1 species
GAUGAACGCUGGCGGCGUGCCUAAUACAUGCAAGUCGAGCGAACGGACGAUAAGCUUGCUUCUCUGAUGUUAGCGGCGGACGGGUGAGUAACACGUGGAUAACCUACCUAUAAGACUGGGAUAACUUCGGGAAACCGUAGCUAAUACCGGAUAAUAUUUUGAACCGCAUUGUUCAAAAGUGAAAGACGGUCUUGCUGUCACUUAUAGAUGUAUCCGCGCUGCAUUAGCUAGUUGGUAAGGUAACGGCUUACCAAGGCAACGAUGCAUAGCCGACCUGAGAGGGUGAUCGGCCACACUGGAACUGAGACACGGUCCAGACUCCUACGGGAGGCAGCAGUAGGGAAUCUUCCGCAAUGGGCGAAAGCCUGACGGAGCAACGCCGCGUGAGUGAUGAAGGUCUUCGGAUCGUAAAACUCUGUUAUUAGGGAAGAACAUAUGUGUAAGUAACUGUGCACAUCUUGACGGUACCUAAUCAGAAAGCCACGGCUAACUACGUG